rnacentral:rRNA from 1 species
AGAGUUUGAUCCUGGCUCAGAACGAACGCUGGCGGCAUGCCUAACACAUGCAAGUCGAACGAGACCUUCGGGUCUAGUGGCGCACGGGUGCGUAACGCGUGGGAAUCUGCCCUUGGGUUCGGAAUAACAGUGAGAAAUUACUGCUAAUACCGGAUGAUGACGUAAGUCCAAAGAUUUAUCGCCCAAGGAUGAGCCCGCGUAAGAUUAGCUAGUUGGUGGGGUAAAGGCCUACCAAGGCGACGAUCUUUAGCUGGUCUGAGAGGAUGAUCAGCCACACUGGGACUGAGACACGGCCCAGACUCCUACGGGAGGCAGCAGUGGGGAAUAUUGGACAAUGGGCGAAAGCCUGAUCCAGCAAUGCCGCGUGAGUGAUGAAGGCCUUAGGGUUGUAAAGCUCUUUUACCAGGGAUGAUAAUGACAGUACCUGGAGAAUAAGCUCCGGCUAACUCCGUGCCAGCAGCCGCGGUAAU